AGCGAACGCUGGCGGCAGGCUUAACACAUGCAAGUCGAACGGGCUUCUUCGGACGUCAGUGGCAGACGGGUGUGUAACACGUGGAAACGUGCCCUUCGGUUCGGAAUAACCCAGGGAAACUUGCGCUAAUACCGGAUACGCCCCUUUGGGGAAAGGUUGACUGCCUAAGGAUCGGCCCGCGUCUGAUUAGCUUGUUGGUGGGGUAACGGCCUACCAAGGCGACGAUCAGUAGCUGGUCUGAGAGGAUGAUCAGCCACACUGGGACUGAGACACGGCCCAGACUCCUACGGGAGGCAGCAGUGGGGAAUAUUGGACAAUGGGCGCAAGCCUGAUCCAGCCAUGCCGCGUGAGUGAUGAAGGCCUUAGGGUUGUAAAGCUCUUUUGUCCGGGACGAUAAUGACGGUACCGGAAGAAUAAGCCCCGGCUAACUUCGUG
rnacentral:rRNA from 1 species